CUCAUAGGAGACUGAAUUCCUGUGUACGGUGGAAUGCGCAGAUAUCAGAGGAACACCGAUGCGAACGGCAGGUCUCUGGGCUGUACACUGACGCUGAGGACGAAACGCAUGGGGAGCGGGGGGGAACAGGAUUAGAUACCCUGGUAGUCCAUGCCGUAAACGUUGGGCACUAGGUGUGGGGACCAUUCCACGGUUUCCGCGCCGCACUAACGCAU
rnacentral:rRNA from 1 species